rnacentral:snoRNA from 1 species
GGGGUGUGCUCAGAGCAGGUGGCCUGAAGAAUGGCUGUUUACAACACACCCAACAGGAAUCUAGGAAUCUUCUCUGUUUACAACACACCCAACAGGA